rnacentral:rRNA from 1 species
CCUACGGGAGGCAGCAGUGAGGAAUAUUGGUCAAUGGACGAGAGUCUGAACCAGCCAAGUCGCGUGCAGGAUGACUGCCCUAUGGGUUGUAAACUUCUUUUAUACAGGAAUAAAACGAGGCACGUGUGCCUUUUUGCAUGUACUUUAUGAAUAAGGAUCGGCUAACUCCGUGCCAGCAGCCGCGGUAAUACGGAGGAUCCGAGCGUUAUCCGGAUUUAUUGGGUUUAAAGGGAGCGUAGAUGGGUUGUUAAGUCAGUUGUGAAAGUUUGCGGCUCAACCGUAAAAUUGCAAUUGAUACUGGCAGUCUUGAGGACAGUUGAGGUAGGCGGAAUUCGUGGUGUAGCGGUGAAAUGCAUAGAGAUCACGAAGAACCACGAUUGCGAAGGCAGCUUACUAAACUGUGACUGACAUUGAUGCUCGAAAGUGUGGGGAUCAAACAGGAUUAGAUACCCGGGUAGUC